AGUGAACGCUGGCGGCGGGCCUAAUACAUGCAAGUCGAAGGAAGUGGCGCACGGGUGAGUAAUAUAUAGCUAAUCGGCUCCUUGCUGGGGGACAACAGUUAGAAAUGAAUGCUAAUACUCCAAAGCAAGGGAUGAGACUAUAUCGUAUCAGCUAGUCGGUGGGGUAACGGCCUACCGAGGCUAUGACGCGUAACUGGUCUGAGAGGAUGAGCAGUCAAAUUCGAACUGAGGCACGGUCGGAGAUCCUUCGACAAUGGGCGAAAGCGUAAUGUACGCAAUCCGCGUGACCCAGGCAGGGCAUCGCCGCGUAAAGGAUUACACUUUUGGAAGCAUAAACUCCUUUUAUUACCGAAGCGGUACCUAACGAAUAAGCACCGGCUAACUCCGUGCCAGCAGCCGCGGUAAUAC
rnacentral:rRNA from 1 species